rnacentral:rRNA from 1 species
CUAAGUUUGAUGGCGACCGGCGCACGGGUGAGUAACACGUAUCCAACCUGCCGAUGACUCGGGGAUAGCCUUUCGAAAGAAAGAUUAAUACCCGAUGGCAUAGUUCUUCCGCAUGGUAGAACUAUUAAAGAAUUUCGGUCAUCGAUGGGGAUGCGUUCCAUUAGGUUGUUGGCGGGGUAACGGCCCACCAAGCCUUCGAUGGAUAGGGGUUCUGAGAGGAAGGUCCCCCACAUUGGAACUGAGACACGGUCCAAACUCCUACGGGAGGCCAGCAUG